rnacentral:rRNA from 1 species
AGUGAACGCUGGCGGCGUGCCUAAUACAUGCAAGUCGAACGGACAAGUAAGAGCUUGCUCUUAUGAGUUAGUGGCGCACGGGUGAGUAAUGUAUAGCUAAUCUGCCCUACACUAGAGGACAACAGUUGGAAACGACUGCUAAUACUCUAUACUCCUCUCUAGCAUAAGUUAGAUAGGGAAAGUUUUUCGGUGUAGGAUGAGGCUAUAUUGUAUCAGCUAGUUGGUGAGGUAAUGGCUCACCAAGGCUAUGACGCAUAACUGGUCUGAGAGGAUGAUCAGUCACACUGGAACUGAGACACGGUCCAGACUCCUACGGGAGGCAGCAGUAGGGAAUAUUGCUCAAUGGGGGAAACCCUGAAGCAGCAAUGCCGCGUGGAGGAUGACACUUUUCGGAGCGUAAACUCCUUUUGUUAGGGAAGAACAAUGACGGUACCUAACGAAUAAGCACCGGCUAACUCCGUGCCAGCAGCCGCGGUAAUACGGAGGGUGCAAGCGUUACUCGGAAUCACUGGGCGUAAAGGACGCGUAGGCGGAUUAUCAAGUCUCUUGUGAAAUCCUAUGGCUUAACCAUAGAACUGCUUGGGAAACUGAUAAUCUAGAGUGAGGGAGAGGCAGAUGGAAUUGGUGGUGUAGGGGGUAAAAUCCGUAGAGAUCACCAGGAAUACCCAUUGCGAAGGCGAUCUGCUGGGAACUCAACUGACGCUGAUGCGUGAAAGCGUGGGGAGCAAACAGG